ensembl:processed_transcript C430014B12Rik RIKEN cDNA C430014B12 gene
AGAGGGGUGUCACUGCCGCGGCGCUAGGCCCGGAGUCCUGCUUGGGGAGACUAGAGCACUCACCCUGGGCCUGCUGGAGAGUCCCCGGAGAGAGGGUCGCCGCCCGCCGGCUCCGGGGCACUCGGGUGAGCGCUCGCAGAGGCCGUUGACCGAGCGCACCGAGGCGCCCGGGCAAAGAAGCGGCGGAGCGGCCGCGACGGGCCGGGACAUACGCGAGAACGGCCAGGACUGACCCCUUCCAGGAGCCGUAGCGGAAGUAGGUUUCUGGUCAUGUGACGAGAGAAGGGCGGAUGUUGCAUGCAGGCUCCUGAGACGUCGACGCGGAGCCAUUUUUGUCGUGGGCAAAGUACUCCCGUCUCAGGUGAUUCCUGUUGAGGGGGUUUCUAGACUUUGUGAUCUUUAAGAACCUUGCGUUUGCAGGUAAACUGGUAACCUGUUUUAAAGGAACGCCUGAAUAAAAAUUCUUAUGGUGGCCCGCGAAUUUGCAUAUAUAACUAAAUAUUGGAAGUAAUUCUUCAGCAGUCUAAUUGUGAUUUCCCUAAAACUUACAAAUUAAGAAUCCGAGAAAAGGGGAAGCUGAAUUGGGUUUCAAGAUAGUAGGGGUCAGAAAUCUCUUUCAAAUCUAAACACCCAACUUGUGGCUCCCCUCUGGAAGGCAAGAACCAUACUUGCUCAUAGAAGGAUAGACGGGAAGCCAAAUCAGGAAAUACGAUGUGUGCCUCUAUUUUCAUAACCUAGCAACCUCACCCACUGUUUCCCAUCCUUGGUGACAACCAACCAGGGUUAAAGAAAUUUUUUCUUACAAUCUGUUCCAUAUUAUAGUUGAGCCUGGUGCCACACUCUAGAAAUCCCAGUAUUAGGGACUUGGGAGCUAGAAGCUAUAGGAUCAAGAGUUCCAGGCCAACCUCAGCUAAGUAUUGAGUGGAAGGCCUGUGUCAUUAUCUAUAUCAAACAUACACACUCUUUUUUUUUUAAACAGUAAACACCUUGAUACUUUUUAAAAAAAGAUUAAUUUAUUAUUAUAUGUAAGUACACUGUAGCUUUCUUCGGACACACCAGAUGAGGGCAUCAGAUCUCAUUACGGAUGGUUGUGAGCCACCACGUGAUUGCUGGGAUUUGAACUCAGGACCUUUGGAAGAACUCUUAACCGCUGAGCCAUCUCUCCAGCCCCAUACAUGCUCUUUUUCUUGUGGUUAUUUCCUACUAAUAGAGUCUAACAUGUUUAUAUUGGUUUAAAUAUAUGUAAUCUAGAAACAGUUUUAAGUGUUUGUGAGGAUGUGCAUAGGUUAUCUGCAACCAUCAAGCCAUUUUAUAUAAGAGACAUAAGCUUGUGGAUAUGAGCUGUGAUUCUAGAACAAAUUUCUCACUCCUUUGUGCAAAGGAAGAGUAUUUACUCAAGUGAUAUAGUCUUGAAUCUAAAAUACUUCCAAAGUCAAUCUUUGGCUCAUUCUUAUAACAACAGUUCUAAGGAACCAGAAGUAAGAGGGUGGGAGGAUUGCCAGCACUACACAAUGAACCCUGACUCAAAACAACAACAAAAACCCAAACAAAGAAAAUCUCAGAUGAUCCCCCAGAAGUGUUAUUUUCCUUCAAAAUAAUGUGUCAAACUUUCUGAAUUUCAUUCUUGUGUGUCCUUCCUAAUAUUGGUUUAAGAUAAGCAAAAUUUCCCUUUACCUUCUGAAGGUCUCAGUGAGACCCCAAUUAAAUUGGCAUAAAACAACAGGUGAACAGAAUGGAAGCAUACACUUUUAAUUAGUAAUUUUUGCUUGUAUGUUGGAAUAUUGAAAAAUGAAGACACAAAGAAGUUCUUGGGAUCUAUAAUCUGUAUCAGAAGCUGACCAUUGUAGUAAAUUGUAAAAAUGUGAGAAGACACUUUUUAAGUGUCUUUGUCUCAAAAUAAUCUUUAUUUCAAAGGGGCCUACUGUGGGUGGUGUGUCCUGCUAAUUUAUAGUGACAAGUAAUCCUCCUUUACGGACAGAUUAAAUAACAUUAUCCUGUCAUUCCAAGUCAAGGCCUUUGGGGCUAAGUAUGGAUAAGCUAGGUAAGCCAUACAUUAUCAAGACUUUUAAAUGUGUUCUCUCCCUCUCGCUCAUCCCUCUUUCUCACCCCUCUUCCUCUCCCUCUCCUUUUUUCCUCUUCUCUCUCCUUUCUCUCUCUUAUCCCUCCCUUUCCCCAUGGCAACUUCCUUGUCCUCAGUCCUUGGCACCAGUGAACUCACCCAUUUGCCGGACAGCAUCUUCCCAAUAAACCUGUCUUUAAUCUAAUCUAAUCUGGUUUAAAUGGGUUGAUUUCAGCAGCAGCAGAGAAAUAACCUAUCAAGGGUCUUAUUGCUCCCUUACACUUCUUAAAUGUUGCAGACUUCUUUUUCUUUUGUCCCUAGCCCUUUCUUUUCAAAGUUUUGAAAUGACUUUUAAAUAAAGAUCCAUAAUUCAGUUAUCAAACCCAGGUCUUCUUCUGUAACCCUGAUUUAUCAUUUAUCUUUGGGCAUCAUGUGAGUCUAUUAAACAAGACAGUGUUUCAUAGAAUGUCAGAGCACCUAAUAGUGUGUGAUACAGUCUUAAAUGAAAAGUUAUGUGGCAUGAAUGGUGCUUCUUCCAUGCACAUGGAAGUCUAUUCCUUCUUGUGUCCUAUAUUAUAGAUUCAUGAUGGGUCUUCCUUUUCUUCUCUCACUCAUGUGUACAUUUCUGUUUGUGACUUAAUGCCAUUGGCUUUUUCUAUAACCUCAUAAUAUAUAAAACCAAAUAAUCUCAUCCACUUAGUUUAGCUUCAUCCUGAUGCAUGACUUCUAGCCAUUGCUACUUAGGUUUCCCAUUAGGGAUUAAACCCUGAUAGGUUUUACCUUAUUUCCCCUUUUCAACUCAGACAUUCUUCAGUUACUGUUUCUCGUUUAUGGCAAGGUUACUUUUUUAGGCAUCAAGAUUCAGAAUACUAUAGUUAUCUCUUACUAUCUUAAUUUGAUGGUUAUUUUCGGUGAAAAUUAGUAUUCUUUGAUAUUCUUCUUAAUUUCAAAGUUGUGUNNNNNNNNNNNNNNNNNNNCUUUGUAAAAUUAACAAUAAAAUUCAAAUUUAAACAUUUUUAAUACUUUUAUAAAUAAAUUAAUAAUGUGUUAUCUUGC